AGUGUGGAUGAGGAUCCCAUGGAGGUCGGGUACUCUGGGGAUUCCUCCCAUUCACCCGUGUCCCAAGAGUAUUAACAGGCGAGGUCGCGGCAGACUUGUGUGACGCGUGUCACUACAACCGAUGGACAAGAUCUGAUGCAUUCUUUCUCGCUUGGCCAUUAUCAGCACCCCCUGAUAAAGACAUCUUCCCUUGGCCAUGAUUUGGUCAGUCUUCUUCCAGUGUCAAGCAGUCCAAAUACUUAUCAUACUAAUAUAAUGGAAACUGUCUCUGAGUCUAUUAUUACCUUUCUGUAUCCUUUCUGAUGAUAAAUGGAUUAAUAGCAUGGAAGAGAGCAGAUUUUGAGUCUGUGUAUCUGUUAGGCAUUCUAGUUAAGAAACAGCAGGUGAUGAGACUGAAACUGACCCCAAAGGACCCAAACAUGGACUUGAAUGAUCCAUCCGUGCAGGAGGCCAUCUUGCAGCAGCUGAGGGAGAAGAUGUCUGAUCCUUCCCUCACACUGAGAUGGACGGAACAGCCUGAUGGAAAGAUCUUCCACAAAGAAAAAAAUUAGUAGAAAAAUGAUUGCAUGUCUGUUAUGUAUGCUUAAAUAACUGCUACUGUAUUGUUUACCUUUAUUUAACCAGGUAAACAUUUUGAGAACCUUUUUCAUUUACAAUGACAACCUGGCCAAAGGAAUGUUAUUGGCAAGACCAAACUACAUUACUUAAGUGCUAUCUCAACAUAAUGUGCAAACUAAUAGGCAAGAUAUCAACAUUACACCAAAUGAGGGUGAUACCAUAUGAGUGCUCUCCUUUAUUAUCGAUACCCUUGGUAAAGUUGAGCAAAAAUGUAUGAACAAAAGCCAUUCUUUUUCCACAUCCUCAGUUAAAAAUAUUUAAUCAAAC
rnacentral:lncRNA from 1 species